AGAGCGAACGCUGGCGGCAGGCCUAACACAUGCAAGUCGAACGGACCCUUCGGGGUUAGUGGCGGACGGGUGAGUAACACGUGGGAACGUGCCUUUAGGUUCGGAAUAGCUCCUGGAAACGGGUGGUAAUGCCGAAUGUGCCCUUCGGGGGAAAGAUUUAUCGCCUUUAGAGCGGCCCGCGUCUGAUUAGCUAGUUGGUGAGGUAAAGGCUCACCAAGGCUACGAUCAGUAGCUGGUCUGAGAGGAUGACCAGCCACAUUGGGACUGAGACACGGCCCAAACUCCUACGGGAGGCAGCAGUGGGAAUCUUGCGCAAUGGGCAAAGCCUGACGCAGCCAUGCCGCGUGAAUGAUGAAGGUCUUAGGAUUGUAAAAUUCUUUCAGUAGGACGAUAAUGACGUACUACAGAAGAAGCCCGACUAACUUCGUGCCAGCAGCCGAC
rnacentral:rRNA from 1 species